UACGUUCCCGGACCUUGUACACACCGCCCGUCAAGCGAUGGAAGUUGGGAGGACCUGAAGACAGUUGUUGUAAGACGCUGUUUAGGGUUAAACUGAUAACUGGCGCU
rnacentral:rRNA from 1 species